AUUGAACGCUGGCGGCAUGCCUUACACAUGCAAGUCGAACGGUAACAGGUCUUCGGAUGCUGACGAGUGGCGAACGGGUGAGUAAUACAUCGGAACGUGCCCGAUCGUGGGGGAUAACGGAGCGAAAGCUUUGCUAAUACCGCAUACGAUCUACGGAUGAAAGCAGGGGACCGCAAGGCCUUGCGCGGACGGAGCGGCCGAUGGCAGAUUAGGUAGUUGGUGGGAUAAAAGCUUACCAAGCCGACGAUCUGUAGCUGGUCUGAGAGGACGACCAGCCACACUGGGACUGAGACACGGCCCAGACUCCUACGGGAGGCAGCAGUGGGGAAUUUUGGACAAUGGGCGCAAGCCUGAUCCAGCCAUGCCGCGUGCAGGAUGAAGGCCUUCGGGUUGUAAACUGCUUUUGUACGGUAACGAAAGACUCUUUCUAAUAAAGAGGGUCCAUGACGGUACCGUAAGAAUAAGCACCGGCUAACUACGUGCCAGCAGCCGCGGUAAGG
rnacentral:rRNA from 1 species